rnacentral:lncRNA from 1 species
CUGGAUCAGACUACUCUACUAACUACUGGAUCAGACUACUCUACUAACUACUGGAUCAGACUACUCUACCAACUACUGGAUCAGACUACUCUACUAACUACUGGAUCAGACUACUCUACUAACUACUGGAUCAGACUACCCUACUAACUACUGGUCUAAAACACACCUGGAUCAGACUCAUUUUCACAACAAAUGGAGCUGCCGUUCUCUGGUCUGGAGUCGACCUUCAUCAUCAUCGCCUUCAUCAUCUUCUCUCUCUUCGGCCUGGCCUCAGUCUGUACUCAGCCGGACACAGAGGAAGCUGUGUGUGAAGAGAAGAGGUUCCACAGGAAACCAGAGAGGAAGCAACGUGUCAUCGUCAAACUGGCCUCUCAGAGAGAACCCUGAACACUGUCCUCUCAGAGAGAACCCUGAACACUGGCCUCUCAGAGAGAACCCUGAACACUGGCCCAAUCUGGCCUCUCAGAGAGAACCCUGAACACUGGCCUCUCAGAGAGAACCCUGAACACUGUCCCAAACUGGCCUCUCAGAGAGAACCCUGAACACUGGCCUCUCAGAGAGAACCCUGAACACUGUCCCAAACUGGCCUCUCAGAGAGAACCCUGAACACUGGCCUCUCAGAGAGAACCCUGAACACUGGCCUCUCAGAGAGAACCCUGAACACUGGCCUCUCAGAGAGAACCCUGAACACUGGCCCAAUCUGGCCUCUCAGAGAGAACCCUGAACACUGGCCCAAUCUGGCCUCUCAGAGAGAACCCUGAACACUGGCCUCUCAGAGAGAACCCUGAACACUGUCUCAAACUGGCCUCUCAGAGAGAACCCUGAACACUGGCCUCUCAGAGAGAACCCUGAACACUGUCCCAAACUGGCCUCUCAGAGAGAACCCUGAACACUGGCCUCUCAGAGAGAACCCUGAACACUGUCCCAAACUGGCCUCUCAGAGAGAACCCUGAACACUGUCCCAAACUGGCCUCUCAGAGAGAACCCUGAACACUGUCCCAAACUGGCCUCUCAGAGAGAACCCUGAACACUGUCCCAAACUGGCCUCUCAGAGAGAACCCUGAACACUGGCC